rnacentral:rRNA from 1 species
AAAGCCAAGCUGGAUCAACUGGAGAUAGACGCGGUUACUCCAUUGUAUGAAGGAUGCAGGCCCGAGGAUACCCGCCUGAAAAUAACGCUCAUGGCUCUAGAGAUGAAGGUAAAACACAAAAUGACCGACGCAUGCUUCGACGAGAACAUGUCAUUCUGGCACGAACGUCUUCCCAAGGGGAACAAAUGCCCGACCAGUUUCGAGGAGGCGAAGAAAAUUGUGUGUCCUCUGGAUUUACCGCACGUGAAAUACCAUGUGUGCAUGAACAAUUGCAUCAUUUAUCGGGACGAGCACGCGGAGUCUACCAUAUGUCCGGUGUGCGGCAUCACUCGAUACAAGAAGAGGAAGAAA